UGAAACGAUUAUCCCAAAGCCUCUUUCACAUUCGUUCAUAAAUCAAAGAAUAUCAGGCAGCUCAACAUAAUUAAUGGCUCCAUCUGAGUAGUGAUUGUGCACUAGAUUUCUGCUUUCUUGAUUGCACAAAGCUUGAGCAAGUUUGGAUUUUAGAGUACCACAAGGAAUGAACAUCUGAUAUGGUCAUCACUGUUUCCUGCAGGAAGAUAACCAGAAUUGUAUGAGCCUCUGGUCUACAAAGCCUUCAUCUUCUCUGAUUUGUAAAGAAUGACCAGUUAUCAACGCCUUUAUCUGUUCUACCACUAAUCUGCCUAUUUGGAUCUCUUGCCACUGCAAACUCUAGAACUCCUGUACCUUAGAAACCUCUGCCCUACUGAUAGCAGCUUGCCUGUACGUUUCUGUUUUAAACUGCCUUCUCAGUAAGUAGUGACUU
rnacentral:lncRNA from 1 species